rnacentral:rRNA from 1 species
AGAACGAACGCUGGCGGCAUGCCUAAUACAUGCAAGUCGAACGAACUCUUCGGAGUUAGUGGCGCACGGGUGCGUAACGCGUGGGAAUCUGCCCCUUGGUUCGGAAUAACAGUUGGAAACGACUGCUAAUACCGGAUGAUGACGAAAGUCCAAAGAUUUAUCGCCAAGGGAUGAGCCCGCGUAGGAUUAGCUAGUUGGUGAGGUAAAGGCUCACCAAGGCAACGAUCCUUAGCUGGUCUGAGAGGAUGAUCAGCCACACUGGGACUGAGACACGGCCCAGACUCCGUACGGGAGCAGCAGUAGGGAAUAGUGGACAAGUGGGACGAAAGCCUGACUCCAGCAAUGCCGCGUGAGUGAUGAAGGCUUAGGUGUAAAGCUUACUUUACCGAGUAUGAAUAA